rnacentral:rRNA from 1 species
GAUGAACGCUGGCGGCGUGCCUAAUACAUGCAAGUCGAGCGAACGGACGAGAAGCUUGCUUCUCCGAUGUUAGCGGCGGACGGGUGAGUAACACGUGGAUAACCUACCUAUAAGACUGGGAUAACUUCGGGAAACCGUAGCUAAUACCGGAUAAUAUUUUGAACCGCAUGGUUCAAAAGUGAAAGACGGUCUUGCUGUCACUUAUAGAUGGAUCCGCGCUGCAUUAGCUAGUUGGUAAGGUAACGGCUUACCAAGGCAACGAUGCAUAGCCGACGUGAGAGGGUGAUCGGCCACACUGGAACUGAGACACGGUCCAGACUCCUACGGGAGGCAGCAGUAGGGAAUCUUCCGCAAUGGGCGAAAGCCUGACGGAGCAACGCCGCGUGAGUGAUGAAGGUCUUCGGAUCGUAAAACUCUGUUAUUAGGGAAGAACAUAUGUGUAAGUAACUGUGCACAUCUUGACGGUACCUAAUCAGAAAGCCACGGCUAACUACGUG